rnacentral:rRNA from 1 species
AUUGAACGCUGGCGGCAGGCCUAACACAUGCAAGUCGAACGGUAGCACAGAGGAGCUUGCUCCUUGGGUGACGAGUGGCGGACGGGUGAGUAACGUCUGGGAAACUGCCCGAUGGAGGGGGAUAACUACUGGAAACGGUAGCUAAUACCGCAUAACGUCGCAAGACCAAAGUGGGGGACCUUCGGGCCUCACACCAUCGGAUGUGCCCAGAUGGGAUUAGCUAGUAGGUGGGGUAAUGGCUCACCUAGGCGACGAUCCCUAGCUGGUCUGAGAGGAUGACCAGCCACACUGGAACUGAGACACGGUCCAGACUCCUACGGGAGGCAGCAGUGGGGAAUAUUGCACAAUGGGCGCAAGCCUGAUGCAGCCAUGCCGCGUGUAUGAAGAAGGCCUUCGGGUUGUAAGGUACUUUCAGCGGGGAGGAAGGCGGUGGAGUUAAUAACUUCACCGAUUGACGUUACCCGCAGAAGAAGCACCGGCUAACUCCGUGCCAGCCGCCGCGGUAA